AAGCUCCUCCAUGCCUCUUCCAAGCCAAUGUUCAAUCAAAACCUAUUACACUAUUAAAAUAUAUAUAUAUAUAUAUAUAUAUGAUAUGCCUUCUAUGGCUAUCCUAGGCAAGGAAUUCUUUUUUUGAUGGGCUUGGUUGUUGGGUUCCAUUAAUUGUACACAUGUAUUGACACAAAGGUGGGUGAAGUGUGGGGGUAGCCUUCAAAAAUGAUUGAAAUAUCCAAACAAUUAUUGAUACUCCUUUGAAUCACUUCAUAUUCCUAUCCAAAAGAUCUACAUGAUUUUUAAAAUAUAUAUAUAUAUAUAUAUAUAUAUAUAUAUAUAUAUACCAAAAAACCAAAAUCAAAUUGUUUCAAUGAUGUAUAGAAAUUCUUGUGUUUUGUUCUUUCUUUUUCUUUUCAGGCAAAUGAAAAUACAUAUAUACAAAGUGGUUUCAUUUAUCCUAAACACGAAUUCAGAUGCAAUUAAUGGUGACCACUGGUCUAUCAAAAGAUAACUGUGAAAAGAUUGGUUUGGAUCAUGUUCUAUUGCAUAAGCAUGAAACAGAAUUAUGAUGCGGAAGAAUCUUCAUAAGCAAGAAUGAAUGGUGUUAUUCCAUUGAUCAAAUCACGCUAUGGUACAUAAUAAUACUAAAAGCAAAACAAAAUAAAAUAAAAUAGGUGAAGGGUGAAACAAUGCACAUUUGAUCAUUAUAGAAAACACACGAGUUAUCUUUAAAAAGCACAGGUUGAUGUAAAACUGCAAUAUUAUGAUUUAUUUAUUUAUUUAUUUUUCCUUGUCCAAUAAGCUUGUGACAUUUGGUGCCCAAUGUUCAGUAUCACUAUUUGAUUUAAUUUUAUUUAUUUAUUUAUUUUUCACCACAUUGGAGUGGACAGCGGUUUAUAAAAACAAGUUUUAAAAAUUAGAGAUAUGAUAUUUUAAGAUAGUUGCACAUAUUGUGUCUUGGUACCUUUUAUGAAUUUUUAAUAGUUAAAGCCAUCUCAAACGUUGUUGAUAUAUGAAACACUAUAAAUUGCACUUUGAUAUAUAUUAAUUAUAACUUGUAUUGCAAAGUUCUUUAGUUUUAUUUCAACUCUAAUUUUUAUUUUUGGUUUACACAUUGCAUUUUCAGAUAAUAGCAAAAGCUUUGUGAUUUCCCAUUGUAUUACUUACUAUAAAAUUUUCAGGCAUCAUUAUUUCCAUUUUGCAAAGCAAAAAGGGACCAAUAAGGUUACUUAUGUUUGAAAUAAAGAUACUUUUAGCAUGUGCAGUUGGAAAGAGAUAACUUUUUUAACUUUAAAAAAAAAUAAUUAAAAUGGAAUGUGAGUAUGUAUGUAAAUUGUAGUUAAUUAUAAUUUAAUAUUAAUAAUGUAAAUGAUUAACACCACUUUGUUGAAUAAAAACUUGUGAUUGCUUUCAGUUAAUGAAAAUAACAUAUAGCUAUUGUGACUUAAGGAAGUGUCUUGUGGGGUGAUCACUGGUUAAUGACUAGAAAAACAUGUUGCUCACAAUUGAAUUUGAAUAGUUGAAAGAAUAAGUUGUGAUGAUAUUCUAUGUGCUACAGUUGUCCAUCAUUGUUAAAUUUGUUUGACGUUAAGUUUUUAUGGAUAUUAAUAUGCUUUUGCAUUACAUUGAUAUUGAAAUAUUAAUAUGAAAGAAUUGUGUGUAUUAGAUUGAACAACAUAAGAAAUAGUCCUUCAAAGAACGUAACAAUUUGUAGAUUCCAAAGAA
rnacentral:lncRNA from 1 species